rnacentral:lncRNA from 1 species
GACACACCACACCAUGAAAUGUUAUCUUUUUUCCCCUCAACACAAUAGGUUGCCAGAAAAAAGGAAUGUGAAAUGGAGACUGUUAAUAUGGACAUAUCCUAAGAUACAGCAUACCAUUUGAGAAAGUAAAUACACUACACUUUGGCAUGAAGGAAAAUUAACUCUGCCAUGAAUUAGUGAAAACAGUUUGAACUCGACAUUGGAUCCCCCUCAAAAUUCCAUCUUUAAUUUCUAUCUUCAAUGAGUAAUGGAGAACUUUUUGAAAUAUAACAAAGGUUUUCUAUCCUGUUCAUCACCAGAAAUAAUCCCUUAACAAGAAACUCUUCCGUAGAUUGUGAAGAUCAGAUCUGAUUCAGAAAGGCAGUGUGGCAGGUAUGCAGAGAAUCAUAUAAUCUGUCUUGAUGAUACAAUUCCACUGAGUCCUGGCUAUAACACUCUCGAUGUCCACAUCACUGGUUGCAGUCUUACAAGCACGGAAGGUAAGAAAGUAGGUUCUUACAUGUAUUAUAUGCAUUAUAGUAUUUCAAUUCGUUUGAAUUUAGAUAAACCUGAAAAA